rnacentral:rRNA from 1 species
UACGUAGGGACCAAGCGUUGUUCGGAUUUACUGGGCGUAAAGGGCGCGUAGGCGGCGUGACAAGUCACUUGUGAAAUCUCUGAGCUUAACUCAGAACGGCCAAGUGAAACUGUUGUGCUAGAGUGCAGAAGGGGCAAUCGGAAUUCUUGGGGUAGCGGUGAAAUGCGUAGAUAUCAAGAGGGACACCUGAGGUGAAGACGGGUUGCUGGGCUGACACUGACGCUGAGGCGCGAAAGCCAGGGGAGCAAACGGGA